rnacentral:rRNA from 1 species
UAGAGGAAGUAAAAGUCGUAACAAGGUCUCCGUUGGUGAACCAGCGGAGGGAUCAUUACUGAGUUUACGCUCUACAACCCUUUGUGAACAUACCUAUAACUGUUGCUUCGGCGGGCAGGGUCUCCGUGACCCUCCCGGCCUCCCGCCCCCGGGCGGGUCGGCGCCCGCCGGAGGAUAACCAAACUCUGAUUUAACGACGUUUCUUCUGAGUGGUACAAGCAAAUAAUCAAAACUUUUAACAACGGAUCUCUUGGUUCUGGCAUCGAUGAAGAACGCAGCGAAAUGCGAUAAGUAAUGUGAAUUGCAGAAUUCAGUGAAUCAUCGAAUCUUUGAACGCACAUUGCGCCCGCCAGCAUUCUGGCGGGCAUGCCUGUUCGAGCGUCAUUUCAACCCUCAAGCUCUGCUUGGUGUUGGGGCCCUACAGCUGAUGUAGGCCCUCAAAGGUAGUGGCGGACCCUCCCGGAGCCUCCUUUGCGUAGUAACUUUACGUCUCGCACUGGGAUCCGGAGGGACUCUUGCCGUAAAACCCCCAAUUUUCCAAAGGUUGACCUCGGAUCAGGUAGGAAUACCCGCUGAACUUAAGCAUAUCAAUAA